GAUGAACGCUGGCGGCGUGCCUAAUACAUGCAAGUCGAGCGAACGGACGAGAAGCUUGCUUCUCUGAUGUUAGCGGCGGACGGGUGAGUAACACGUGGAUAACCUACCUAUAAGACUGGGAUAACUUCGGGAAACCGUAGCUAAUACCGGAUAAUAUUUUGAACCGCAUGGUUCAAAAGUGAAAGACGGUCUUGCUGUCACUUAUAGAUGGAUCCGCGCUGCAUUAGCUAGUUGGUAAGGUAACGGCUUACCAAGGCAACGAUGCAUAGCCGACCUGAGAGGGUGAUCGGCCACACUGGAACUGAGACACGGUCCAGACUCCUACGGGAGGCAGCAGUAGGGAAUCUUCCGCAAUGGGCGAAAGCCUGACGGAGCAACGCCGCGUGAGUGAUGAAGGUCUUCGGAUCGUAAAACUCUGUUAUUAGGGAAGAACAUAUGUGUAAGUAACUGUGCACAUCUUGACGAUACCUAAUCAGAAAGCCAUGGCUAACUACGUG
rnacentral:rRNA from 1 species